AAAUGAAUUGACGGGGGCCCGCACAAGCGGUGGAGCAUGUUGCUUAAUUCGAGGCAACGCGAAGAACCUUACCCGGGUUUGACAUACACAGGACUGGUCGUGAAAGCGGCUUUCCCUUCGGGGCCUGUGCACAGAUGCUGCAUGGCUGUCGUCAGCUCGUGCCGUGAGGUGUUCGGUUAAGUCCGGCAACGAGCGCAACCCGUACUGUCAGUUGCCAUCAGGUAAUGCUGGGCACUCUGGCGGGACUGCCCGUGUCAAGCGGGAGGAAGGCGCGGAUGACGUCAAGUCCGUAUGGCUCUUACAUCCGGGGCUGCAAACGUGCUACAAUGGCCGGUACAAUGGGAUGCGAGUACGCGAGUACGAGCGAAUCCUCAAAACCGGCCUCAGUUCGGAUCGCAGUCUGCAACUCGACUGCGUGAAGUCGGAAUCGCUAGUAAAGGGACAUCAGCAACGGUCCCUUGAAUACGUUCCCGGGCCUUGUACACACCGCCCGU
rnacentral:rRNA from 1 species